ACUCAAAGGAAUUGACGGGGGCCCGCACAAGCAGCGGAGCGUGUGGUUUAAUUCGAUGCAACGCGAAGAACCUUACCUGGGCUUGACAUGGCACUGCAAAGGCUGGAAACAGUCUCCUCCUUCGGGACGGUGUCACAGAUGUUGCAUGGCUGUCGUCAGCUCGUGUCGUGAGAUGUUGGGUUAAGUCCCGCAACGAGCGCAACCCUCGUGGCUAGUUGAGUUUCUCUAGCCAGACUGCCUACUAAAUAGGAGGAAGGUGGGGAUGACGUCAAGUCCGCAUGGCUCUUACGUCCAGGGCUACACACACGCUACAAUGGCCGGUACAAAAGGCAGCAAGCAGGCGACUGCAAGCGAAUCCCGAAAACCGGUCUCAGUUCGGAUUGCAGGCUGCAACCCGCCUGCAUGAAGUCGGAGUUGCUAGUAACCGCGCGACAGCACAGUGCGGUGAAUAUGUUCCCGGGCCUUGCACACACCGCCCGU
rnacentral:rRNA from 1 species